UACGUAGGUGUCAAGCGUUGUCCGGAUUUAUUGGGCGUAAAGCGCCCGCAGGCGGCUUGCCAAGUUCGAUGUGAAAUCUCCCGGCUCAACUGGGAGGGUGCAUCGAAAACUGGCAGGCUUGAGGCAGGGAGAGGGAUGUGGAAUUCCAGGUGUAGUGGUGAAAUGCGUAGAUAUCUGGAGGAACACCAAUGGCGAAGGUAGCACUCUGGGACGUGACUGACGCUGAGACGCGAAAGCGUGGGGAGCAAACAGG
rnacentral:rRNA from 1 species